CAUGAGUAAAGUCAUGUUUCCUUCGGGACACUGGAGACAGGUGGUGCAUGGUUGUCGUCAGCUCGUGUCGUGAGAUGUUGGGUUAAGUCCCGCAACGAGCGCAACCCCUAUUUCCAGUAGCCAGCAUGUAAAGAUGGGCACUCUGGAGAGACUGCCUAGGAUAACUAGGAGGAAGGCGGGGAUGACGUCAAAUCAUCAUGCCCCUUAUGAUCAGGGCUACACACGUGCUACAAUGGCGUAAACAAAGGGAAGCGAAGUGGUGACGCCAAGCAAAUCCCAAAAAUAACGUCUCAGUUCGGAUUGUAGUCUGCAACUCGACUACAUGAAGCUGGAAUCGCUAGUAAUCGCGAAUCAGAAUGUCGCGGUGAAUACGUUCCCGGGUCUUGUACACACCGCCCGUCACACCAUGGGAGUCGGAAAUGCCCGAAGUCAGUGACCUAACCGAAAGGGAGGAGCUGCCGAAGGUGGAGCCGGUAACUGGGGUGAAGUCGUAACAAGGUAGCCGUAUCGGAAGGUGCGGCUGGAUCACCUC
rnacentral:rRNA from 1 species